AUUGAACGCUGGCGGCAUGCCUUACACAUGCAAGUCGAACGGCAGCACGGGAGCAAUCCUGGUGGCGAGUGGCGAACGGGUGAGUAAUAUAUCGGAACGUGCCCAGUCGUGGGGGAUACCGCAGCGAAAGCUGUGCUAAUACCGCAUACGAUCUACGGAUGAAAGCGGGGGAUCGCAAGACCUCGCGCGAUUGGAGGGGCCGAUAUCGGAUUAGCUAGUUGGUGGGGUAAAGGCCGACCAAGGCGACGAUCUGUAGCUGGUGUGAGAGAACGACGAGCCACACUGGAACUGAGACACGGUCCAGACGCCUACGGGAGGCAGCAGUGGGGAAUUUUGGACAAUGGGGGCAACCCUGAUCCAGCAAUGCCGCGUGAGUGAAGAAGGCCUUCGGAUUGUAAAGCUCUUUCGCGAGGGAAGAAAGCGCACUGGUUAAUACCUGGUGUGGAUGACGGUACCUUGAGAAGAAGCACCGGCUAACUACGUGCCAGCAGCCGCCGUAA
rnacentral:rRNA from 1 species